rnacentral:rRNA from 1 species
AUUGAACGCUGGCGGAAUGCUUUACACAUGCAAGUCGAACGGCAGCACGGACUUCGGUCUGGUGGCGAGUGGCGAACGGGUGAGUAACAUAUCGGAACGUAUCCAAUAAUGGGGGAUAACGAGUCGAAAGAUUCGCUAAUACCGCAUACGCCCUACGGGGGAAAGCUGGGGACCUUCGGGCCUGGCGUUAAUGGAGCGGCCGAUAUCUGAUUAGCGAGUUGGUGAGGUAAAGGCUCACCAAGGCGACGAUCAGUAGCUGGUCUGAGAGGACGACCAGCCACACUGGAACUGAGACACGGUCCAGACUCCUACGGGAGGCAGCAGUGGGGAAUUUUGGACAAUGGGCGCAAGCCUGAUCCAGCCAUUCCGCGUGAGUGAAGAAGGCCUUCGGGUUGUAAAGCUCUUUCGCAAGGGAAGAAAACUUAGCCACUAACAUUGGCUGAGGUUGACGGUACCUUGAUAAGAAGCACCGGCUAACUACGUGCCAGCAGCCGCAGUAA